rnacentral:rRNA from 1 species
GAUGAACGCUGGCGGCGUGCCUAAUACAUGCAAGUCGAGCGAACAGAUAAGGAGCUUGCUCCUUUGACGUUAGCGGCGGACGGGUGAGUAACACGUGGAUAACCUACCUAUAAGACUGUGAUAACUUCGGGAAACCGGAGCUAAUACCGGAUAACAUAUUGAACCGCAUGGUUCAAUAGUGAAAGGCGGCUCUGCUGUCACUUAUAGAUGGAUCCGCGCCGUAUUAGCUAGUUGGUAAGGUAACGGCUUACCAAGGCAACGAUACGUAGCCGACCUGAGGGGGUGAUCGGCCACACUGGAACUGAGACACGGUCCAGACUCCUACGGGAGGCAGCAGUAGGGAAUCUUCCGCAAUGGGCGAAAGCCUGACGGAGCAACGCCGCGUGAGUGAUGAAGGUCUUCGGAUCGUAAAACUCUGUUAUCAGGGAAGAACAAAUGUGUAAGUAACUGUGCACAUCUUGACGGUACCUGAUCAGAAAGCCACGGCUAACUACGUGCCAGCCGCCGCGGUAA